ACUCCUUUCGUCAGAAUUUAUACUAAAAUUGGAACGAUACAGAGAUUAGCAUGGCUCUUGUACAAGGAUGACAUGCAAAGUUCGUGAAGCAUUCCAUAUUUUU